CACACAGCCCGGGAGCCGAACCCUUCGCGGGCAGCCAGAGAGAUGCCGGGCCGCGCUGAGGAUCCACGACCUGCCCCUUCCGCGAGCUGUACCUGCAGUGGUGACACCUCCAUGGUGACGGUCGUGAAGGAGCUCGAGAACCCUGCAAGCGACUAAACCGGCAGGACCCCCGAGACCACCACGGAGCGAGCCUCUUCUCCACAGACUCCCGUCGGUUAGAAGAGCUCCUCCAGUCGCGUUUGAACCUCCCUGUAGCCCGCCCAAACCAGAUAAGCCAAUCACUGACUCGCUCUCACCGACUCCGUCCCGAGGAACCAAUCGCAGCUGACUUUUUAUUUUCACCAAUGAGCGCUUGAGUUGGGCGGGGGCCUGUUUGAACAAACCAAUUAGGCAGGGGGGCGGGACUAGAGCGGUUCCAAAAGGCACCGCUCGGAGGCGUAGCGUAGAGAUUGACAGGGACACUGGCCAAUGGCGGGGGGCUUACUUGUUCCCUCAGAGCCUGCAACUUUGAAGAGACUCCGGAUGCAAGCGGGGAGGGGUUUCUGAGGUGCGGGCUCGGGGAGAAGGAAGAAGGGGAAGCAUUCCUCAGGCCCUGCUAACUUCUUUCAGAUUCCUGAACUCUAUAAAGCGUCUUCCGUCCUGAGGGUUUUUAGCGAGAGGAAGGGGAAUCCGAGCUUCUUUUUCCUGGGGAAACUGAGCGCCGGCUUUCUGGACAGGCAGCCUGGCGACUUGGUAACGCGGACAGAUGCUGGCGCCUGCCUCAACCUCCCCUCCCAAGAAUUUGUUUUCGAAGAAACUAGAGUGCUACCUUUGUGGUUUUGGGGUAUAAUAGAAGAGAGGCCGCACAAAAUGGAGAGCAGCAUUCAAAUGCCCCAGUGGAGCGGCGUUGGGCUGCAAGCCGUUCUGUACCGAGGAGGAGGGAAGGACACAGGAUGAGACAAAUGAUUCAGCCCCAGGGGAAGACCCCCAAGGGGAGACAGAUCCCAAUGGAGGUGAGGUAGAUGAGAGAGACAGAGACACAGGCACAGGGAGAAGCAGGUGCCAUGCAGGAAGCCUGACGUGGG